rnacentral:rRNA from 1 species
UACGUAGGUGGCGAGCGUUGUCCGGAUUUACUGGGCGUAAAGAGCGCGCAGGCGGUCGUUCAAGUCGCGUGUGAAAGCCCCCGGCUCAACUGGGGAGGGUCACGCGAUACUGAUCGACUCGAAGGCAGGAGAGGGUAGUGGAAUUCCCGGUGUAGUGGUGAAAUGCGCAGAUAUCGGGAGGAACACCAACGGCGAAAGCGCUCUGCUGGGCCGACACUGACACUGAGAGACGAAAGCUAGGGGAGCAAAUGGG